AUCUACGGCCAUACCUUCCUGAAUGCACGCAAUCUUUUCUAAUCUCAGAAGCUAAGCAGGGUUGAGCCUGGUUAGUACCUGGAUGGAAGAUUUGGGGAUAGGACUGUGAACU
ensembl:rRNA 5S_rRNA 5S ribosomal RNA